UACGGAGGGGGCGAGCGUUAUUCGGAAUUAUUGGGCGUAAAGGGCGCGUAGGCGGCUGUACAAGUCAAAGGUGAAAUCCCUCGGCUCAACUGAGGAACUGCCUUUGAAACUGCCUGGUCUGAGGCGGAGGGGGUAGCGGAAUUCCCAGUGUAGCGGUGAAAUGCGUAGAUAUUGGGAGGAACACCAGUGGCGAAGGCGGCUACCUGGACCGGUUCUGACGCUGAUGCGCGAAAGCGUGGGUAGCAAACAGG
rnacentral:rRNA from 1 species